rnacentral:rRNA from 1 species
GUAGGGGGCGAGCGUUGUCCGGAUUUAUUGGGCGUAAAGAGCUCGUAGGCGGUUCAACAAGUCGGUCGUGAAAGUUCAGGGCUCAACCCUGAAAUGUCGAUCGAUACUGUUGUGACUAGGAUACGGUAGAGGUGAGUGGAAUUCCGAGUGUAGCGGUGAAAUGCGUAGAUAUUCGGAGGAACACCAAUGGCGAAGGCAGCUCUCUGGGCCGCUACUGACGCUGAGGAGCGAAAGCAUGGGGAGCAAACAGGAUUAGAUACCCUGGUAGUCCAUGCUGUAAACGAUGGGUACUAGACGUAGGAACUGGAUUGACGGUUUCCUGUGUCGCAGCUAACGCGUUAAGUAUCCCGCCUGGGGAGUACGGCCGCAAGGCUAAAACUCAAAGGAAUUGACGGGGCCCCGCACAAGCGGCGGAGCAUGCGGCUUAAUUCGAUGAUACCCGAAGAACCUUACCUGGACUUGACAUAUAGGGUCUAGCUAUAGAGAUAUAGUGUGCAUUAGCGCCCUAUACAGGUGGUGCAUGGCUGUCGUCAGCUCGUGUCGUUAGAUGUUGGGUUAAGUCCCGCAACGAGCGCAACCCUCGUCCUAUGUUGCCAGCAUUUAGUUGGGGACUCAUAGGAGACUGCCGGUGAUAAACCGGAGGAAGGUGGGGACGACGUCAAGUCAUCAUGCCCCUUAUGUCCAGGGCUUCACGCAUGCUACAAUGGCCAGUUCAAACGGAGGCAAUACCGGCAGGUGGAGCCAAUCUCUUAAAGCUUGUCUCAGUUCGGAUUGGAGUCUGCCCCCCGACUCCUUGAAGUUGGAGUCGCUAGUAAUCGCAAAUCAGCAAAGUUGCGGUGAAUACGUUCUCGGGUUU